AUAUCUAUCUAUAUAUAUUUCUUGAUUCGAUUUUUAUACAAUCAUUUUUGGCUCUUCGAUUCACGCAUCUCUCCCUCAUUUUUUUUUCUUUCCAAUUGGCACUGUUAUCAAAAUUUUGAAUUUCAGCUGGGAAGAAUGAUGUGACUGUUCUUGUGGAAUUCCCUUAUGAAAUUCCAGUUACAUAUUAUGCAUUUGCAAUGGAGGCAAGUGAACCCAAAAUUGAGGAUUGUGCUGUUCCGGUAACAAGCACAAUCAGGGCUUUGGAGAAGGAGAUUGCUCAUCCUAUUGUUUACCAGCUUGUCCGGGUUGAUGGCGAUGGGAGAUUAGUCCCGGCAACUCAGGAUGAAAUUAUGGUGGUUGAGGACUUGCUUGAAGAUGAUAAGUGUGAAUCCAAGCUUGUUCCAGAUACCAGACAGAUUUCAAAAUCCUGCAUAACUGAAGGAUACCUUCUUGAGAGAAAUUCAUUUCAAGUUACAGAAGAAAAGUCAAAUGUGUUAGUUGACCCAGUGCCCGACUUGGGAAAAAUAGAUGCUCCUGAAAAGGUGGCUGUUCAUGGGAUUGGCUCCUCUCUCAGAACUCAGCAAUGUUGACCAAUCUGUGAGGACUGAUGUAUGCUCCUAUUCCCAGGAUGCACCAAAUGAGGAUACACCAUCAACUUCUGCUGCUGGUUCUAGUUGGAAGCCAGACUUUUCAAAGUUGGAGGGAAAGAUAUGUUUAGAUGAUCUACCAGUUAAAGAACUUCAGGAAACUUUUAAAGCAACUUUUGGAAGGGAAACUUCCGUCAAGGAUAAACAGUGGCUUAAGAGGAGGAUUACCAUGGGUCUGACCAAUUCAUGUGAUUUUUCAUGCACUACUUUCAUAAUAAGAGAUAAUGUAGUGGUGAAAAAAGGUGAAGAACAAAUAUGUCAUCGUGUAAAGAGCAGAAUUUCUGCAGAUUCUGAAGAUGGAGUGGCAAAUUCAAACUCUAGAGGGUCAUUAAGUGAUCAUGAUAACAGAAUAAAUGACGAUUCUGAUCUUUCUGGGGCAGAUGUUUCCAGUUCAGCCUUUGAAAGUUGUAAUGUUACUAAAGAUUUGAACACAGAGCAGAUAACAGCCAAAAGAGCUCGCAAACCAACAAAAAGAUAUAUUGAAGAGCUUUCAGAAAUAGAAUCUAGGGAAACCAGUGAAAAGUUAGCAUCGCCAGAUAAAAUCUCCAGAUACCAAUUUGCAUGUCCAGAAACUCAUUUAAGGCCCACCAAAAAUGUGAGGUCAAAUGCGAGACCUCUGGUCACCAGGCAAGAUUCUCUGGGAGGUUCUGGGGUUCAAAUUCCAUUUGUUUCUCGGAUUCGAAGGAGCCGUCCGCGUGAGAACUUCAUGCCUCUUUUGAAACUUCAGCCCAGUGGAAUGGACACGGCGACCAGACAAGUAAGGAGUGCUUUUGACAUAUCUGGGCCACAAGAAGAUGAUAAGAGAAAUAAUGACCUGAUCAAGACCAGCUCAUCUCCUGGAUGGACUCAACAGCCUCUUAUUGCUGCUUGUGAAAAGGAUGAACAUUACAGUGGGAUGAAAAUUGUUGAGCUAGAGAAUGACAUAGAGGUGAAUGACUGCUCUGAGGACAAUUCAGAUGAUAAUGUGGUGACUGUACCCACCCAAAAAGGAGGAAUGAGGAGAAAACAUCAUCGACCUUGGACUAUCAAUGAGGUUGUUAAGCUAGUGGAAGGUGUAGCCAGGUAUGGUGCUGGUAGAUGGUCUGAGAUAAAACGGCUUGCUUUUUCAUCUUGCCCUUAUCGAACUUCGGUGGACCUGAAGGACAAGUGGAGAAAUCUGCUGAAAGCUAGUUUUGUGCAGUUGCCUGCAGAAAAAGGGAUUCUGAAUUCCCGGAAACAAGCUUCAGUUCCGAUCCCUGCUGCAAUUCUCUCGCGUGUGAGAGAGCUUGCUGAUAUGCAAGGUCAGAUCCCACCAGUUCUCAGUGCAUGCAAGUCAAGUGGACAUAGUAGUAGUGAUAGAAGUGUAAAUGAAGCUAGGUCUGGAUUCCUGUAAUUUCAACAUCAUAAAAAGGUUUGUUUUUUUUGGAAUAAGCCCGAUGGUGAUUGGCAGACAGUUCACUAACCAUUAUAUUUCAUGUGCUAAUGCUACUUUUUGUGUGAUUCAACCUUUUGUACACACCUUGGUAGCUUUUAAUUCAAGGUCGCGAAGUUGAGAGCAAUUUUGUUUUCCUUCCCA